rnacentral:lncRNA from 1 species
AAUAACAGUCGGGAGUCAUUGUCACAAUAAAAUAGCAAUGUUAGCAGCCAGAUUCAUGGAAGGACUAAGGGGUCCUCAUGAAUUGCAUUAAGAUUCUGUACUGCUCAUGAUACACUCCAUCCUCUCUAGACUGCCUGCCGGGUAAUAGUGGACGGGUAAUCUCUGACAAAACGGGAAGGCUAUUUUUUUUCUGUUUGACAAUGGAAUUGGCAUAAUUGGGAAUGAAGAUAAAAUUUGGAACCAAGAUUGAGAAGAUGGAGUGUAUGUAGAAGGGCUGUUCAAAAAUGUAAACUUGGUUGCAUUAUAUGUGGAGGCUCAAACUUGUGAAGGUUAAAUACCAUAAAAUUUUCCAUUUGUUCUGCAUUUUGAUUCUGAAAAGAAAGCUGGCUUUGCCCAUUUCUUAUUAAAAAAACUUGUUGUAAAUCCAGUUGUCUAAUGGGAUCUAUAUGAAGUUAGCUAUGUCUGUAUGCCCUUCUCCCACAAAUACUGUAUUACUAGUGUGCUUGUAGUAGUUAACUCCACCAUCUUUGUAAGCUAAUGAAAUUGUGAGUCACCCAUUUAUAUCUUAAUUUUUAAUCAUGUCAGUUCUUGAAUGGGUAUCUCCUUAGCCUGCUGAUUUCUUUUUCUUUCUAAAGAAAGUGGGUGGAGAAAUUAAUUUAGACGUUUGUUUGCAAUAAAAAGAAUUCAUUUUACUCUUGUUUGGGAUUCUCGCCAUCAAGGUCUAAAUCCCUUUAUAGUAUGACUCCCAAGAGGAGAAACUUUAAGUGUGUGCUUUCUGGACAGCUUAUUCUUUACUCUGUACUUCGGAACAUUUAGGUUUUAAAAACUUAAAUGUAUACUGAUGAUUGAUUUUAUAAUAUAAAGUUGAAUUCUUCCCUUCCCCUCCCCCCAAGACUGCUUUUAACAUUUAUGAGGGGCAAAGGUACUGGCUGGGAGAAGUUAAUGUUCAGUUGACCAUGUUUAUGAAAUGUGAGUGGCUGUCCUCACCUGAUAAUAGACAUAUAAUACAUGAAACUUUGGGAACAGAUGCUUUUAGAAGCCAUCAUGCAAGCCAGUCAUUGAUUUCACUACUACACAAUGCUGCUAACUUAACUAGCUAUGUGAUAAAUUAGAUCCCCUAAUUGUAAUUUUAUUGGGUUUGCACAGAACACUUAAAUCUUGUAAAGGAGCCUCACUGUGUGAAGUGAGGAAUCAGGAGUCAAACUGUAGAACUAAAAUUAGAAUUUAGUCUAGUUGUUAGUGUUUAUAGCCUGCUUCUGGUAAGUUCAGGUUUUCCUGUAUUAUUAAUUGCUGUAGAACUUUGUUUUAAAUCAGAUUUUUUUUUUAAUACUUUAUUAUACUCUAGGAAUUACUACAGGCUAGUUUCUGCAAUCAGGUUGCCUCAGAAAUAACACUACAAAGUAGUAUCUUCUCGGCUUAGUUAACUGCUAUAAACCAUUGGUAUGAGUAUCUGCCCUACAUACGUAACAUUAUGAUUAUAUAUUCCUAACUCUGGGAGUAAUUCAGUUCAGUGGUUAUCCUAAUAUUUUAAUCUGUGCCUUUCAAAAAUCUUGUAUAGACCUAGUACUAGAGACGCAUGGCUACAAAAAAGGGUCAAAUGACAAAGUAGAACAUGAUACAUGCAUUGCCUGAAAAAUUGGAUGGGAGGGAAAGCUUGCUAUCUGAAGUGAUCUCACUAGUUACAUCUGUACAUGAAAGUUUUCUUUAAUGGAAAAGAGGCAAUCCAUUCAGAGGGGGAAAAAUGGCUUAAGUUUUUGAAAGAAUCCCAAAUAUUGAUAGGAUCAGAAUUGACUUGAUAAUCAAGCUGGGCAUGACAACACAGGGGCUUUUAAAAAAGAUACAAGCUGGAGGGCAGCCUGGGCUAUAUUCUAUAUUGUGAGGUGUUCUCUCUGUAAUUAAGUACCAGCAGAGCCAAAAGCUGGGGAAGGUGGCUGCCAUUGUAGAUCAGUGGUAGAGCACUUAUUAUCAGCACCUAAGAGGUAAUAAAUUAGUUAACUUUGUUACUGAGAAAAUGGUGUAGAUUAAUAGUAGCAAAGAGGCGUUCUCACUAAUGUCUAUAGACUAUUUUAAUGGCAAAUAUUUUAAUCACAUUUCAAUGGCAUUUUAGGUAGUAUGCACUUGGGUGUGAAAGACUAGUUCUGUGUACAUCAAUGUGAAUAUAAUUGAUUUUUUUAAAAUGUAGAAUAAGCUUAAACUAAUUUCUUUUUUACAUAAAUGUAAUAUAUUUUUUAUUAAAGUGAACAAAAUUUGUAGC